UUGUCGUAUGCACUAGAUAUUGA
rnacentral:siRNA from 1 species